AGCGAACGCUGGCGGCAGGCUUAACACAUGCAAGUCGAACGAAGCCUUCGGGCUUAGUGGCGGACGGGUGAGUAACACGUGGGAACGUACCUUUUGGUUCGGAACAACACAGGGAAACUUGUGCUAAUACCGAAUGAGCCCUUAGGGGGAAAGAUUUAUCGCCAUUAGAGCGGCCCGCGUUGGAUUAGCUAGUUGGUGGGGUAAAGGCCCACCAAGGCUACGAUCCAGAGCUGAUCUGAGAGGAUGAUCAGCCACACUGGGACUGAGACACGGCCCAGACUCCUACGGGAGGCAGCAGUGGGGAAUCUAGGACAAUGGGCGAAAUCUUGAUCCAGCAAUGCCGCGUGAGUGAUGAAGGCCUUAGGGUUGUAAAGCUCUUUUACCCGGGAUGAUAAUGACAGUACCGGGAGAAUAAGCUCCGGCUAACUCCGUGCCAGCAGCCGCCGUAA
rnacentral:rRNA from 1 species